CAGUAGCCACGGUAAUACGUAGGUGGCAAGCGUUGUCCGGAAUUAUUGGGCGUAAAGGGCUCGCAGGCGGUUUCUUAAGUCUGAUGUGAAAGCCCCCGGCUCAACCGGGGAGGGUCAUUGGAAACUGGGAAACUUGAGUGCAGAAGAGGAGAGUGGAAUUCCACGUGUAGCGGUGAAAUGCGUAGAGAUGUGGAGGAGCACCAGUGGCGAAGGCGACUCUCUGGUCUGUAACUGACGCUGAGGAGCGAAAGCGUGGGGAGCGAACAGGAUUAGAUACCCCCGUAGUCCCUGUCUCUUAUAC
rnacentral:rRNA from 1 species